CUGAAGAAAAGAAAAGAACCAUGCUGACUUUACUCUUUGAGCUCCAGCUCCCAUGGCUGAGGGGAGGCAGCCUGCUCCCAGGGGAUAGGGCAGGGAAUAGGAGUCACUAGUGCUGACUGGGGUUCAAAUCCCGACUCGGGGAUGUACCAGGAAAGACAACGUCUCAAAAUUCUGCCUGAUGUAUGGAGAGAAGCAUCCUGGCAAGAGACACGGCGCUGCCAGACGAAGAGAUGUACUCCUGACAGAACUGGGACUGUUCACCCAAAGUGAGACAAAGCGAAGUACAAAGCACAUUGAAAGUCUCUUCCUUCUUACUGUCAACGGAUUCGCCUAAUCAAAGCACCUUUUGGUCACUGCAUCCAAGUUUCAUGCUCAUCCAACACUGGUGGAGUCUUUUUUUCGUUUCUUCUGAGUUGACGCACGCAAAAUCCAAGAGUUCCACUUUUGGUGAGAACAUAUUGCUGUCAGGUUGCAUUUUUUACAGCACAUUGGUUCCCCAUGUCCCAGGAAUGACCCGCUGUAAAGGCCACUGGGCCAGAGAAUUGCAAGAUCGAGCAGGGCAAUGGGAAUUACAGGAGAGGAUUAGCGACAGCGCAGCCUGUUACCACAGCGAAAGACAGCCCGAGGACGGGGCAUGUUCCCGCCUGACUGAUGAAGUGUGCCGGGGUCUAUGGAUUAGGUCACAGUCAGAAAGCUUUUUUUUUGCUGUACCCUCUGACCUUCUCUAGAAGGUCUGGGAAUUCAGCCAAAAAUUCCUGAAGGAUGAAUUUCUUUUCCAUGGCCAGGUUGACGUUUGAGCACACAUCGCCCUCUUGUGUCUAUGACACAUUUGGCAAGGUCGUUUCUAGCAGCUGCUAACACACAGCAAAAUGAAACCUUGUAACAGCCCUUAAGCCUACAGACCUCAGUACAAGGCAGAGGGAGAACAAACGCACCAAUUUUCCCAGAAUUGGUCAAGAACAUUUGGAAGAGUCCAGAAUUUGUGAAGAUGGUACUAAUAACUACCCAACCCAGAGCUCUGAAAGUUAAAAAAUGUAUACGGUGCAAUAAAAUUCAUAUUCAAGA